rnacentral:tRNA from 1 species
GGAGAGGUCGCAUAGUGGUCUAGUGCGCCUGCUUGGAAAGCAGGUGUACCGCAAGGUACCGCGAGUUCGAAUCUCGCCCUCUCCGCCA